rnacentral:ncRNA from 2 species
AUAGACCACUAGGGGUGCGCGAAAUGGAGCGCUGAGAGACAGCGAAAGCUUAAAACCCUUUGAACCUGAUCCGUACAGCGGCGGAGGAAAGUGGAUGGUAUGCACA